CUAAAGAUGGCGACCGGCGCACGGGUGAGUAACACGUAUCCAACCUGCCGAUAACUCGGGGAUAGCCUUUCGAAAGAAAGAUUAAUAUCCGAUGGUAUAUUUUCUCCGCAUGGUGAGAAUACUAAAGAAUUUCGGUUAUCGAUGGGGAUGCGUUCCAUUAGUUUGUUGGCGGGGUAACGGCCCACCAAGACCACGAUGGAUAGGGGUUCUGAGAGGAAGGUCCCCCACAUUGGAACUGAGACACGGUCCAA
rnacentral:rRNA from 1 species